ACACAAUCUCACUUUGUCCUCGGAUGUUCAUCAUGUGAUCUUUUAUCAACGCAACUGUGGCGGGGCCCUUGCUAACUUGCUUCCGCGUGAACCUGUGCUUGCCUACGUGUGGUAAAGCGGAAACACUGUGAACACUUCUGACCUUGUCUUUUCAAUUUUAGGCAGGUGACAACGCUGAAUUGGUCCUCAGGAGCGGAUGUUCAAGGAACCCUGCCUAUGCACCAUGCUAGCUGCCAGUCCUAGGUUGGGACAUUCCACUGGGGACAUCCAUGGGAGAGCUAUGGCCAUUAACAAGUCCUGAGCCCUGACCUGAAGCCAUCAGUGGCCUAGCUGCUCUACCUGACUUUGUGGCCUCCCUUCCUGGAUCUCUCGCUUACGACAACCGACAACAAAGAUGUUUGACUCCAGAAGAUGCUCCCCGCGGCCCACCUGAGAGGACUGUCCACACCCCACCCCACUGCGCCCUGUGCCAUCUACCUCUGAGUCCCCAACUUCUCACCCAUGUUUCAACUCCCACCCCAGAGCCUUGUAUUCCAGAUCUGAGCAGCCCUUGCUUAGGAACCUGAGGUGGGGGGUGGGUAGGCAGACCCAGGGGACUGAGCAGGGAGGGGAAGGAGGGGUUUCUGCUCUUGGCUUUCAAAGUUCUCAGUGUGUGUAGCCCUUUGAAUAAUAAACAUAUGUCAUAUAAUGUAAA
ensembl:lincRNA Mirg miRNA containing gene